GGAGCUCUCCCAUAUGGUCGACCUGCAGGCGGCCGCGAAUUCACUAGUGAUUGUUUGAUCCUGGCUCAGGAUGAACGCUAGCGACAGGCCUAACACAUGCAAGUCGAGGGGUAUAAGUAGCUUGCUACUUAGAGACCGGCGCACGGGUGAGUAACGCGUAUGCAACCUACCUUUUACUGGGGGAUAGCCCAAAGAAAUUUGGAUUAAUACCGCAUAACAUAUUUGAAUCGCAUGGUUUAAAUAUUAAAACUUCGGUGGUAAAAGAUGGGCAUGCGUAGCAUUAGUUAGUUGGUGAGGUAACGGCUCACCAAGACUAUGAUGCUUAGGGGGUCUGAGAGGAUAGUCCCCCACACUGGUACUGAGACACGGACCAGACUCCUACGGGAGGCAGCAGUGAGGAAUAUUGGUCAAUGGGCGCAAGCCUGAACCAGCCAUGUCGCGUGCAGGAUGACGGCCCUAUGGGUUGUAAACUGCUUUUUACAGGAAUAAACUUUGUUACGUGUAGCAAACUGAAGGUACUGUAAGAAUAAGGAUCGGCUAACUCCGUGCCAGCAGCCGCGGUAAUACGGAGGAUCCAAGCGUUAUCCGGAUUUAUUGGGUUUAAAGGGUCCGUAGGCGGGCUUUUAAGUCAGUGGUGAAAUCCCAGAGCUCAACUCUGGAACUGCCAUUGAUACUGAAGGUCUUGAAUUUAGUUGAGGUGGGCGGAAUACGUUAUGUAGCGGUGAAAUGCAUAGAUAUAACGUAGAACACCGAUUGCGAAGGCAGCUCACUAAGCUAACAUUGACGCUGAUGGACGAAAGCGUGGGGAGCGAACAGGAUUAGAUACCCUGGUAGUCCACGCCGUAAACGAUGAUUACUCGUUGUGCACGAUACACUGUGCGUGACUGAGCGAAAGCAUUAAGUAAUCCACCUGGGGAGUACGUUCGCAAGAAUGAAACUCAAAGGAAUUGACGGGGGCCCGCACAAGC
rnacentral:rRNA from 1 species